rnacentral:tRNA from 1 species
GAGGGGCGUACAACACAAAAAGACCUGCUAAGUCUUCCUACUGUGGUUAACCCCCCAGGCCCCUU